UACGGAGGGUGCAAGCGUUAUCCGGAUUCACUGGGUUUAAAGGGUGCGUAGGUGGGUUGGUAAGUCAGUGGUGAAAUCUCCAGGCUUAACUUGGAAACUGCCAUUGAUACUAUCAAUCUUGAAUACCGUGGAGGUCAGCGGAAUAUGUCAUGUAGCGGUGAAAUGCUUAGAUAUGACAUAGGACACCAAUUGCGAAGGCAGCUGGCUACACGAAUAUUGACACUGAUGCACGAAAGCGUGGGGAUCAAACAGG
rnacentral:rRNA from 1 species